GAAGAAGGGUUUCGGCUCGUAAAACUCUGUUGUUAAAGAAGAACAUAUCUGAGAGUAACUGUUCAGGUAUUGACGGUAUUUAACCAGAAAGCCACGGCUAACUACGUGCCAGCAGCCGCGGUAAUACGUAGGUGGCAAGCGUUGUCCGGAUUUAUUGGGCGUAAAGCGAGCGCAGGCGGUUUUUUAAGUCUGAUGUGAAAGCCUUCGGCUCAACCGAAGAAGUGCAUCGGAAACUGGGAAACUUGAGUGCAGAAGAGGACAGUGGAACUCCAUGUGUAGCGGUGAAAUGCGUAGAUAUAUGGAAGAACACCAGUGGCGAAGGCGGCUGUCUGGUCUGUAACUGACGCUGAGGCUCGAAAGUAUGGGUAGCAAACAGGAUUAGAUACCCUGGUAGUCCAUACCGUAAACGAUGAAUGCUAAGUGUUGGAGGGUUUCCGCCCUUCAGUGCUGCAGCUAACGCAUUAAGCAUUCCGCCUGGGGAGUACGGCCGCAAGGCUGAAACUCAAAGGAAUUGACGGGGGCCCGCACAAGCGGUGGAGCAUGUGGUUUAAUUCGAAGCUACGCGAAGAACCUUACCAGGUCUUGACAUACUAUGCAAAUCUAAGAGAUUAGACGUUCCCUUCGGGGACAUGGAUACAGGUGGUGCAUGGUUGUCGUCAGCUCGUGUCGUGAGAUGUUGGGUUAAGUCCCGCAACGAGCGCAACCCUUAUUAUCAGUUGCCAGCAUUAAGUUGGGCACUCUGGUGAGACUGCCGGUGACAAACCGGAGGAAGGUGGGGAUGACGUCAAAUCAUCAUGCCCCUUAUGACCUGGGCUACACACGUGCUACAAUGGAUGGUACAACGAGUUGCGAACUCGCGAGAGUAAGCUAAUCUCUUAAAGCCAUUCUCAGUUCGGAUUGUAGGCUGCAACUCGCCUACAUGAAGUCGGAAUCGCUAGNANUCGCGGA
rnacentral:rRNA from 2 species